AAUCAUCGCUAGGGGUGCCGACCCGCCGGCUUGCCGGCAGGAACGCUGAGAGAGUCCCUUUGAACCUGAUUGAGGUAAUCCUCGCGCAGGGAAGCCGGUCCGGCGCCGU
rnacentral:ncRNA from 1 species